rnacentral:rRNA from 1 species
GACGAACGCUGGCGGCGUGCUUAACACAUGCAAGUCGAACGCUGAAGCUCAGCUUUUGUUGGGUGGAUGAGUGGCGAACGGGUGAGUAACACGUGAGUAACCUGCCUCCUUCUUUGGGAUAACGCCCGGAAACGGGUGCUAAUACUGGAUAUUCACUGGUCUUCGCAUGGGGGUUGGUGGAAAGGGUUUUUCUGGUGGGGGAUGGGCUCGCGGCCUAUCAGCUUGUUGGUGGGGUGAUGGCCUACCAAGGCUUUGACGGGUAGCCGGCCUGAGAGGGUGACCGGUCACAUUGGGACUGAGAUACGGCCCAGGCUCCUACGGGAGGCAGCAGUGGGGAAUAUUGCACAAUGGGCGCAAGCCUGAUGCAGCGACGCCGCGUGAGGGAUGGAGGCCUUCGGGUUGUGAACCUCUUUCACUCAUGGUCAAGCCGCAACAAUGGUUGUGGUGAGGGUAGUGGGUAAAGAAGCGCCGGCUAACUACGUG